GGGGUCACAGUCAAAACUGGCCCACUCAGGAUAGUGUACCAAAUCACCUUCAGGCCAUGAGCCAGUGAACCCCAGGGGAAGGUGUCCGCCUGCGCCUACAGGAGGCUGCGUGGAGCUGGAAAUGACCUGGCAUGGCAGGUGCAGGACGAGGCUGGGAAGAGGAUGUGAAAGGGAAGUCGGUGGCAUAAGAAGUGAUCCUGCUGUUCUCCCCAUGUCUGGGACUGCCGCGUGGAGCCUCCACGUCCCCAGGGGCCUCUGAAGGACCCACCGAGCUCCAGUCCACAGACAUGUCGCUGCUCAGGGGAAACUGGCAGGCGUUCAGCUGGGAGAAGAGACACCACUGCUCCCAGGAGACGAGGUUCUGUUUGAUCAUGAACUUUGGCCCCCGUCCAUCAAAACCAAUAAUAAAAA